rnacentral:rRNA from 1 species
UUCCGGUUGAUCCCGCCGGACCCGACUGCUAUCAGAGUGGGACUAAGCCAUGCGAGUCAACGCAGCAAUGCGUGGCAUACGGCUCAGUAACACGUAGUCAACAUGCCCAGGGGACGUGGAUAACCUCGGGAAACUGAGGAUAAACCGCGAUAGGCCAAGGUUUCUGGAAUGGAUCAUGGCUGAAACCUAUAUGGCCCCUGGAUUGGACUGCGGCCGAUCAGGCUGUUGGUGAGGUAAUGGCCCACCAAACCUGUAACCGGUACGGGCUCUGAGAGGAGGAGCCCGGAGAUGGGCACUGAGACAAGGGCCCAGGCCCUAUGGGGCGCAGCAGGCGCGAAACCUCUGCAAUAGGCGAAAGCUUGACAGGGUUACUCUGAGUGAUGUCCGCUAAGGGCAUCUUUUGGCACUUCUAAAAAUAGUGUAGAAUAAGGGGUGGGCAAGUCUGGUGUCAGCCGCCGCGGUAAAACCAGC